rnacentral:lncRNA from 1 species
AGCUGUGGAGAUGAGCGAAUCAUAAUAUUCACAACAAAUCAUAAAGAAAGGCUAGACCCUGCUUUGUUGCGCCCCGGUCGCAUGGACAUGCACAUUAACAUGUCCCACUGCACUCCAUGUGGGUUCAAAAUGCUGGCCUCCAACUACCUUGGGAUCGCAGAGCAUCCACUUUUCGUGGAGAUUGAAAAGCUGAUAGCGACAGCAAAGGUGACUCCUGCGGAUGUAGCUGAGCAGCUGAUGAGGAAUGAGGCGCCUGAAUUUGCACUAAGUGGCCUGAUUGAGUUUCUUGAGUCUAAGAAGAGAGCUAAUGAUGGUAGUGAAGCCAAAGAAGCAGAGGAGAGAGCUGUGCAGGCUGAGAAGAAAGUUCUCGAAAUCUCGGAGGAAUAAAUGAGACAAGCUAAUUAAAGAUUCAGUAAAUAAUUUUAUAGAGGCUUGCAAGAAGCAAUAGUUUGUGGAGUUUGUAGACUUUUAUCCAUAACAUACAUACUGGGGCAGUUUAAUUUCCUUGAAAACUCCCUUAUUGUGACAGGGUUAGCUUGGAAUAUUGCUAUCAUUUCAUGCAUGAAAAUGAUAUUAUCUAUGACUUUAUAUCAAUGAAAAGUUAGGUUGGUGUGUCAUUAUGUAUAAAUUCUAUAUUUGUUCUCACAACAUUAUUAUUAUUAUGGGCACGGCUUUGGGAGCCAUCGUUGAUUGAGAUGAUAAUUAAAAAAAAAAAAAUUGAUAGUACUCAUGCGGAAAAACAGAAUAAAUAUGUCAAAGGAAUUAAUAAAGAAUAUAAUUAAAAAUUAGAUUGACAAAAAUUCAUAAUUAACCACUUAGUUAUGAUAAAUAAGCAGAAGUAGGAUCAAAUCUUAACUCCCCAACUAACUAUUUACCAGUAAUUCGACGUGAUCUAUUUUGUAACUAACAAUUUCUCCCAAUUACAUGCUUUUCACCAAUUACUCAACUAACCCAUCUUUCAUCCUUUAGAUCAAAUAAAUCAAAAGUAAGGAGCAGAUUAUGAUCAACUUAUAGAUACUGUAUCUUAUAGCUUAAUCACCGUUAGAUAAUUUAAAAAGUCAACAAUAUUAAUGAAAUUGAUCAUUCAUCGGUGAUUAAACAGUAAGGUACUGUGCUACAAAGUGCUGUAGUCACCCGCCAGAAACCAAGAUAUCGAUAUUAAUUAAAAAAAAAAAAAAUUGAAGAGCGACCAAAACCAUAAAUCAAAAGCCCUACUAGAUAUCAUUUUCUUUACCUUAGCACCUUAAACCCCAUCUUUGUUUUACAUUUUUUCUUGGAAACCAAACAACCCCCAGCAGGCAAAAAUGCACGACAAGAAGAAGUUUUUAGCGCAACCCAAAUGCCAUCCACGAGACCGUGGUCUCUGCAGCGGCUUCUGCAGCUGCCGCGGCUAUGGUACUUCGAGAAAACUCCUUUGUUCUUAAACUGAAAGAUUUCUUUUCAAGAUUCUCAAAUGAGUUAACCUUAGUCAUUGAACAAUUUGAUGAUAGCAGCAUUAAUCAAACCGAGCUCUUUAAAGCUGCAAAGCUUUAUCUUGAACCCGGAAUCCCACCCUAUGUUAAAAGAAUCAAAAUCAAUUUGCCAAACAAGGAGACCAAGAUUUUAUCCUCCGUUGAAAAAAAAUAAAGCAAUUGUUGAUAUCUUUAAUGGGGUUCAAUUAAAAUGGACGCUUGGUUCAAAACAAGCCCAAGAACAGGUGUUUUGAGUAAAGGAAUAAGCAAGCAAAAGAAGACUUUGAAGCUUUUUACUUUAAAGGACAGGAUGUACGGAGGGAGAGACUUAUGGCAAUCGGUUAAUCUUUGAUCAUCCAGCCACUUUCGAUACACUGGCAAUGGAUUCUAAUAUGAAGCACAUGAAAAUGGAUGAUCUUGAGAGGUUUGUGAAGAGGAAAGAGUUUUAUAGAAAUGUAGGCAAAGCAUGGAAACGCGGGUAUUUGUUAUACAGUCCUCCAAGAACAGGGAAGUCCAGCUUGACUGCAGCCAUGGCUAAUUAUCUCAAUUUUGAUGUCUGUGACCUGGAGUUGACUACUCUCAGAGAUAAUGCGAAGUUAAGGAAUGUGUUGAUUGCCGCAGAGAAUAAGUCCAUUCUUGCUGCGGAGGACAUUGAUUGUUCUAUUAAUUUGCAAGGCAGGCAUUCACAGGCAAAGUCUUUGAAUCCUGUGAACUCUAAUGCGAUCAAACCAGUAACUAAUGUCAAUCAAGAACCAAAAGUGACCUUAUCAGGAUUGCUAAACUUCAUAGAUGGAGUGUGUCGAGCUGUGGAGAUGAGAGGAUCACAAUAUUCACAACUAAUCAUAAAGACAGACUUGACCCUGCAUUUAUUGUUGCGACCGGGUUGCAUGGACAUGCACAUUCAUAUGUCCUAUUGCACUCCAUGUGGGUUGAAAAUGCUGGCCUCAAACUACUUUUGUAACGCCAAAUUCCAUCAUUUUAGAUUAUGGAAAUUCGGCUUUUAUUAGAAAACAUAUACGGCAUGACACUUAUUAAUAAGUAUAUUAAAAUUAUAAAUCGGGUUAUUCGUGGGAUAAAUUUUGGAAAAAACUUUAUUUUUCUAAAUUUAAUAGGGUUUUUUAAGACUCCAUAUAAAUUACGCUCUUACUCAUACCAUGAAUUCAAACCUUUUGUUUAGGAGAGAAUCAUAAUGGUUGAUAAGUUUACUCUUCUUAUUUUCCACAUAUUUUCCUAUCACUUUAUUUAGGGUUUUAAUUUGCAUGAUUUUAAAUUGUUACAGAUCAUAAUACAUGAUUUAGGAUGUAUUUAAGUUCUGUUUAGGGCUCUGAUUUUUUGUUGAGUCUUAUUAACCAAUCUUUUAUGCAUUGACGAGAGUGAACAAAAAGAAACGGAGCAAAGAGCACUGGCAACAGAAAGUAGUACUGAAAAAUAUGAUUAGGAAACCGAUUAUGAAGAAUCGGACAACAAGGAGUAAAUUUUAGUUAAAAUUGAGGACUCGUCUUAGUCAUCUGUACCAUCCACAUAAUUGGUUAGUUACUGUUAAUUGGAAUUAUCUAUGACUUGGUAUCUAUGAAAAUUAUAUUUUUGCGGCAAUUUGUUAUGACUUAUGAUCAUGCAUAACAAGAGGUAAAUUUUUGUGGUACAUUUUUGUAGAUCGAAAGCUAUAGUUGUUCAACUCCAAUUGAAAACAUAGCUUCACAUAAGAAAAUUAGGCACAUCCUAUUCCUAUGAAUAUCCUCAGCCAGCACAUAGGAACUUUGUAAAUGUGCACUCAAAAUGCCGUCAUAUCAAAAUUUUGAAGAGUUCAAUAAUUCUUUUUAAAAUUUUAGUCUAUGUCGACAUUACAAGAUGAGAAAAUAAAACGGCAUCUUAGGUGAAAACUUUUGUUGUUCAAUAAAUAAAAACGAAAGUAGAUAUGAGGAAUAUAAGAAAAUAGAAUUUCAUUAAAGUGAAAGUGAAAUUGUUAAAGCAUAUUUAAAAAAAAAAUGAGGUGAUGAGAUCCUCACCAUUGGACCAACGAGUGGUCCGUUAAUUUAUUUUAAGUUGAAUUAUAAUUUCUCAAAACAAUCCAAUCCUAAACUUUUUAUUCCUCAAUCUAACACACAGUUAGGCAUAAUUUGCAUUUUUCUUUUGAAAUAUAUCCCUAACAUAGUAACAUUAUGCAAUGUUAACUUGCACGAUGUUAUCGUUAUUGUUAUCAUCAUUAUUUUACUUAUGCUAAAAGAAAAUUGCAUUAUUUUUAAGAAAAAUUAUAAUAAGACAUAUUUCAUGUCACGUAAUAUUAGAAUAAAUUUGCUCAUCAAAUUACAUGUAUAAGAAAAACCAAAUUCAAAAACUGGAGUUCUCUCAAAAAAUACAUAAAGCUUCCAAAAAAUACCUUAAAUACAGUAAAUAGACUCUUCUCGAUCCCUAUCUGAAAGGUAUAGUAUAACCUUUAUAAAUUAAUGUUCGACAGAGUAAUGACCUCUGUUAUGUAAUAAUUUUUUUUUUGUCCCGACUUGGGCUAAUAGCUAGGCUAUAUUAAUAAUUUUUUUUAAAAAAGAAAACCUCUUAUGAUAUAACUCUAUUGAUGGUCUCAUUCAUGUCAUAAAAUAAUAAUUUGAUAAAAAUAGAAAUAUAAUUGACUAUGGUAUUUAAAAAAUAUAACCUCAUAAUAAUAAUAUUAUUAUUUUUAAUUGAAAUACAAAUUUUAUAUUAGAUCUAUCUCUAAUUUUUAUUAUUCAUCUAUAAGUUAUAGGGUUAACUUGUACAAUCGCAAUAAAAAAUUACAAAGUAUUAUUGAUACUUUGAGUGCUUACUUGUACGUAAUAUGUUCUAAAGUUAUUGUAUUAUCCUUAGAUUGGUAAAAUACAAUAAACUUUUAGUUGAAUAAAUAUAUGUUCAUUGAAUAGUAAAUGUACUUUACAAAUAAUAAUUUUUUUAUGAUUAUAACACUAUUAAUUUAUAAAGAUUAUACUAAUGUUAAUUACAUUCAAUAUUCUCUCUCUGCCUCUCUCUCUCCCUACAUAUAUAGUAGUUUUCUCGUUUAGGAUCAUAAAGUGCAGGAAACGCCCGAAAAAAUUUUAAAACCGUGGAGUUUUAAAGGCUUAAAGCAUUUAAACUGCACAAUUUAUGUGUUUUUCCAUACGUUCCAACACUUUAAAAAUUCGGAUUGGAUAUCUCAAGUUUAAGAAUUUGUGGUAUAUGUUAUUUUUACGAAGAGAAAUUAAUAAUACAAUUCUAAUAUAAAUUUGAGUCAAAUAAAGGUAUAAGAAGAACCUAAUUAAUUCAAAAUCUAAUGGCUAGUGUAAUACCUAGCCAUACUUUAUCUAAUGAAAAUAUACUUUAGCAUGAAAGCUAUCACGGGAGAAAACUACCUAGAUGUAAAACUUUUAGACUUGUACACUUUGAUAUAAUUACACAAUGAUCAUAUAAUAUAGAUAGAUAGAUAUUUGGCUGGUCACUCUAAUUCUAAUUUUUGGGAAGGAGAGAACUAUAAAAUUGAUUUGAACUUAUCCAUCAAAUCAACUUUUAAAAAAAAUAAAUUAAAACAUAAAGAUUAAUUUAGGCCAGUUUAUUCAUGUAAUUUUCCUAUUUACUUUAGGAUUACUUGUUUAGCUGGCAUUUGUUUCCCUUAUCUAUUUAGGUCAUAGAGCCUAUAUAAAUAUGCAUAAAAUUUCUCAAGAGUCAUAAAACUUUAGAUAGUAUUUGUUUCCCUAACACUGUCCGAUUCAUCAAAGACAGGGGGAAGAAGAUUACGAAGAGAGGCGAAUCAAGCAAUGCUGAAUCGGGAGCAUAGGCUGUAGUGAGUGCCAUAAUAGUAAUACUAAGCCAGCUUCAAGGAUCAUAUAAUUGCAUAUCGUCUGCAAUUUUCUUUCUUGACAGUGAAGAAACAAAGAGAACAACCAAAACCUCCUUUACCCUUUCAUCCCCUCCAAAUACUGUGCUUUUUCCCCCAAACCAAACAGUCCCACCCCCACAAACAAGAGAAAAAAAAAUGUUUAUGUUUUUGGACACUACCCAAAUGCCAUCCAUAACAACCAUGAUGUCUGUGGCUGCCUCUGCAGCUGCUACGUUUAUGCUCAUUCAAUCCUACGCUAGACAAUACUUGCCUGAUGAGGUUAGCUCCUACUUUGAUCAGAAAUUCAAAAACUUUAUUGCAAGCAUUUACAGUGAGUUAACGUUUGUCAUUGAAGAAUAUGACGAUGGCCUCAACAAAAACACACUCUUUAAAGCGGCAAAGCUUUAUCUUGAACCCAAAAUCCCUCCCAAUGUGAAUAGAAUUAAAAUCUACCUGCCAAAGAAGGAAUCCGAAGUUUCGCUUUCUGUUGAAAAGAAUCAAGCGGUUGUUGAUGUGUUUAAUGAAGUUCGCCUAAAAUGGAUGUUUGAGUUAAAACCAGCCCCGGAUCACGAGCUUUGCAAUAACGGCAACUACAUGUUUAAAGACCGUGUCCCCUGCUUUGAGCUGAGAUUUCACAAGAAGCAUAAAGAGACUGUCUUGGGUACUUACGUACCUCAUAUCUUAAAAAAUAUAAAGAGUUAAGCAAGAAAAAGAAAACUUUGAAGCUUUUUACUUUGAGCUCUAAUAGGUAAGUCACGAUACAUGGCAAUCAGUGAACCUUGAUCAUCCAUCCACUUUUGAUACGUUGGCUAUGGGUACUGAUAUGAAGAAGAUGGUAAUGGAUGAUCUUGAGAGGUUUCUGAGGAGGAGAGAUUAUUACAGGAGAGUAGGCAAGGCAUGGAAACGUGGGUAUUUGCUGUUCGGUCCUCCACGGACGGGGAAAUCAAGCUUAAUUGCGGCCAUGGCUAAUUAUCUCCAUUAUGAUGUCUAUGACUUAGAGCUGUCUAGUGUGGAGGGAAAUAAGCAUUUAAGGAAGGUAUUGAUUGCCACAGAGAAUAAGUCCAUUCUGGUUGUGGAGGACAUUGAUUGUUGCACCGAGUUGCAGGACAGAAGUGCACAGGCCAGAACUGCAAGUCCUGAUUGGCAUAGUCCAAGACGUGAUCUGGUAACUUUAUCAUCCUAUCUUUUUAAUACCAUGUUUAAUACCUGGAUUUAUAGAUGCUGCAAAUCAGGAAUUUGAUUUUAUUGUAGAGAGGAUUUUAGAAACUUUUGGUAAUUUUGUCAAUACGUAGCACAAAAUAUUCUAGUUAAAUUUCGGGUGACUGCUUCCGGACAGUAAUUGUGAGAUACUGAGAAAGUGAUAAAGAGAUUUGAAGCUCUAAAUUAUUCUACACAAAGUGGUUCCUCCAGAUACUUUACCAAUGGGAUUCCAAUUUAUGGGUUACUAAUAUGAUGCUCGAACUAGUAAUAUGGUUCUUAAGAUUGUUCGAAUCAAUAAAUCCUAUGUACAUGCAUGACUUAAAUCACGUUUUUUUCUCAAUUUCAGAUCACCUUAUCAGGAUUGUUAAACUUCACAGACGGAUUGUGGUCCAGCUGUGGUGAUGAGCGGAUCAUUGUAUUCACAACCAACCAUAAAGACAGGCUUGAUCCUGCUUUGUUGCGCCCCGGCCGCAUGGAUGUGCACGUCCACAUGUCAUAUUGCACUCCAUGUGGGUUCAAAAUUCUGGCCUCCAACUACCUUGGGAUCACAGAGCAUCCACUUUUCUCGGAGGUUGAAGAGUUGAUAGUGCAAACAGAGGUAAGUCCAGCUGAAGUAGCUGAGCAGCUGAUGAGGAAUAAGGCACCUGAAAUUGCGCUGAGUGGCCUACUUGAGUUUCUUAAGAUGAAGAAGAGGGACAACGAUGAGAUAGAUGCUAAAGAAGCAGAACAAAGUGCAAUGGAAGCAAAAAAUAUUCAAGAACCUCCUGAGGAAACCAGUGAAGGAAAGAGUCAAGACAUGAUAAAGAUUCAUUAAAUUUUUAUGGUGGUUUACAGCAAGAAGUAGCUAGUUUGCAGUUAAAAUCGGGGACUUACUUCAGUUAUCUAUAGCAUCAGUUAUCUAUAGCAUUUGCAUAAUUGGGUAGUUUAUUUCAAUUGAAAAAUUUUGGACUUGGUAUCUGCGAAAUGCAUAUUUGUGCUGCAUUGUGUAAUGAUUAGAGAUUAUCAGGUAAUUUGGAGAAGCAAGCUUGUUGUAAGGCUGCUGGGAGACCUAUGGUGUGUUUUUAAUUUAUUGCAAGUAUUUGUAUUUUGCUUAAAAUUGCCGGAUUAAUAUUAUUGCUUCCUAUGUCAAUUAUGAAUCCUAGUUGUUUUGCAAUGUUAUAGGUACAGCUCUGAGAGACCUCUACGUUCAAACCAUCAUUGAUAAUAGACAAUCUACUGAUUCAUUUGCUCUCUUUCUAAAUGUACAAAGUGUGGAAAAUUUCUUAGAUGGGAAUCACUUCUCACAGUUUAAUAAUCCAUUUUAACCAAUAUGUUGAGUUCUGUUUGAUGUAGCUUAUUAAUUCUUUUUAUUAACCAAUUUGCUUUAUUUCUCCCUAACCAAUUUAUAUUGUGGCUUUUAACUUAAAUAAGUUGAAAUGAAGGUUCAAAAAAUUAAUGCUUGAAAACUUGCUCAAGAAGGACCAUUUAUUGUUUUGUUUUCUAGCUAAAUUUUAGAGAAAGCGGAAUCUAUGUGCUUUUUUUCUUUACAUUUUCAACCUUUCAAGUUAUUUCAGGACACCUUAGUUGAGAAGGAAACACUUUUUACUGGAGUCAAGAUAAAAUGAACGUCUGAAGCAGUGCUUCCCACGUCACGGUCAACUGAGGUCUCUUGGUGGCAAAGAAAAGCAAUGAAGAAAAGAUGAAAUGGACAGUCACCAAUAAUGCAAAGCAAAACAAUCACAUUCUCACAAUCACAGUCACUCCAAGUCUCCAACAUUGUUAGAAACUGACCACUGUCUUUCAUUUUCCUCACAAACUAAACAGCCCCAGUUGCCUGCAUCAUCUACCUCAAAAAUCCAUAAUUUUCUCUCAAACCAAACAGCCCCAGUUCGCCAAAAAAAAAAAUGAUUUUUAACACUACCCAAAUGCCAUCAACUAGGACCAUUGUAUCUGCAGCGGCCUCUACAACAGCUACAUUUAUGGUCAUUCGAUCCAUUGCUCGCGAUUACUUGCCUCGUGAGGUUCAAUCUUACUUUGCUUUGAAGCUCAGAGAUUUUUUUUUCAAGUUUUUCUAAUGAGUUAACCUUUGUCAUUGAUGAAUACGAUGAUGGCCUCAACCAAAACAAGCUCUUUAAAGCUGCAAAGAUUUAUCUUGAACCCAAAAUCCCUCCCAAUGUGAAGAGAAUCAAAAUCAAUUUGCCAAGGAAAGAAACUAAAAUUUCACUUUCUGUUGAGCAAAAUGAAGAGAUUUUUGAUGUCUUUAAUGGAGUUCACUUAAGAUGGAAGUUUGAGUCAAAACCAACCCCAUCUGAGGCCAUCAACAAAAGGUCAAUUACUAAAGGUUAUAGGGUUAAAGAUCAUGCUGCAUGCUUUGAGCUGAGCUUUCACAAGAAAAACAAAGACUUUGUUUUAGGUACUUACAUACCUCACGUCUUGAAGAAGUCUAAAGAAAUAAGCCAGAAAAAGAAAACUUUGAAGCUUUUUACUUUGGGGUCUCACAGAGGAAUGAUUGGUGAUAAAUCAAUAUGGCAAUCAGUGAAUCUUGAUCAUCCGGCAAAUUUUGAUACAUUGGCUAUGGAUUUUGAUAUGAAGAAGACGAUAAUGGAUGAUCUAGAGAGGUUUCUGCAGAGGAAGGAUUUUUAUCGAAGAGUAGGCAAGGCAUGGAAACGAGGGUAUUUACUGUUUGGUCCUCCAGGGACUGGCAAGUCAAGCUUGAUCGCGGCCAUGGCUAAUUAUCUCAAAUUUGAUAUCUAUGACUUGGAGUUGUCUAAUCUUCGGGGAAAUAAUGAUUUAAGGCAUAUACUGAUUGCCACAGAGAACAAGUCCAUUCUGGUUGUGGAGGACAUUGAUUGUUGCAUUGACCGGCAGGACAGGCUUUCGCGGGCAAGGGCUACAAAUCCUGGUGUUCUCAUACCAGGAUAUGAACAACAACAAAAUCAGGUAAUAUUAUCAUCCAACAUCUCUUUAUUUUAACUUAAUAAUUCUUAAUACUGUAAAAUGAUCAGUACCGUACGUGUUUCUAAUUGUCCAUAGUGAACCUGAUUCCCCUGGUAUAGCUAAGAUAAGCCAGUCCAUGUUUAACACCAGGAUAUAAGUUUGCAAAUCAGGAAAUUUGUUGUCAGUUAAUUUUUGUAUUCAUUUACAUGGUUUUUAUUGAGAGGUUUCUAGUGACAGUUCGCCCAUGUUAUGCCAAAUUUCAUCAAGUAAUGGGUUGGAUCUGUAAAAUGGCUAUGGCUGUUCUUAUCAACAGCAAAUCAUAUGUAUAUAAUCCCUGACUUGGCCACAUUUUUUUCCCUCCCUUUUUUCAGUAUGUUAUAACCUUAUCAGGAUUGUUAAACUUCACUGAUGGAUUGUGGUCAAGCUGUGGAGACGAGCGGAUCAUAAUAUUCACAACCAAUCAUAAAGACAGGCUUGACCCUGCUUUGUUGCGCCCCGGUCGUAUGGAUGUGCAUAUCCACAUGUCAUACUGCACUCCAUGUGGGUUCAAAAUGCUGGCCUCCAACUACCUUGGGAUCACAGAGCAUCCACUUUUCGUGGAGAUUGAAAAGCUGAUAGAGACAGCAACGGCGACGCCUGCGGAUGUAGCUGAGCAGCUGCUGAGGAAUGAGGUGCCUGAACUUGCACUAAGUGGCCUGAUUGAGUUUCUUGAGACUAAGAAGAGAGCUAAUGAUGAUAGUGAAGCCAAAGCAGCAGAGGAGAGAGGAGAGAGCUAGGCAAAAACUUCUCGAACGCUUUAAAAUGUAAUAAAUGAGACAGGCUAGAGAUUCAGUAGAUUUUAUGAGGCUUGCUAGAAGCAGUAGUUUAUGGAGUUUGCAGUACUUUUAUCUAUAACAUACAUACCGGGGCAGUUUAAUUUCCUUGAAAACUCACUUUUGGUGGCAGGGUUUUGCUUGGAAACCUGCUAUCAUUUCAUGGAUGAAAAUGAUAUUAUCUAUGACUUUAUAUAUCAAUGAAAAGUUUGGUUGGUGCAUCAUUAUGUAUGAAUAUGUCA